UAAUCGUCUUGCAAAAGUUAUUGUUAUAAAUGUAUAGGUUAAGAUAAUUAGGUAAAGACAAUGAAUAAUUAAACGUAUUAUAAAUUGACACCAAUAUCCAUCAAAUAGUAUAACUAGGUAUGCUAAGAGCGGGCUUCAGGCCAUUACGUCGCACCUUUAGAAUGAAACUAAUUUGACUCAAAAAGUACGACUACUUUAUAUAUGUAGUUUGGUAGAACAGUAAGAACUCACUAUAUGUGUCUCUUUUUCAUGCGGUGAAAUCCCCCCCACCCGGAAAGGGUAGCGACGCCCAUUUUAUCGACUCUCGAGUCGACUCCAAUCUGAUACUAAUAGCAAAAACCAUACGGAAAUAAUGAGGAUGCAUCGACAUAAGAAGAAUCGAACAUGGGCAAGAUAAAGUUCAAGAAAAAAGCAAAUAUAAUGUGUACUUGUGUGUAGUCAAAGAAAGUUGAAAAAUAAAGCAUAAUUAAUGGCCAUAGAAUACAGAACCGAUACACGAACAUUAAGACUAUUAAAAAUAGACAUAUAGGUUGAUCGUACUACUCGAACUAAUGUAUUUCUUUUGUUCAAUUAUAUUAUUGCAUUAAAGUUAGAUUCUCUAGAUAUAUAUUAUUCAUAGGUUCUGUAUUCUAUACGAAUUGUUUUAGUGUAAUUAUUGUACUAAAUACCGUUGACCGCCUGUCAACAGUAUUUAUUUCUACAUUACUAUCACAGAAGAUUUUAGGUCCUACAGUAGUUUUUGAAUUAGUAUUUACUAUGGACAAAUAUUGCGAAAUGUGAGUUUCUACCUAAAAUAUCAAUCUUUUGUGAACGUGGUGUAGAGUAUAUACCGCCUAAGACUGAAGUAGCUACGCGGGCAACGUUUUCAAAAUAGAAUCGUGUUCAUCGACCAUGAAAAAUAUGGUAAAAAUAAUUAGGUACCCGUAGACCCGCUGGUGAACACUGUUUAUGAUAAUGAUAACACUUAAAAUAAACCCCGUGGACCCACCAGGAGAACAUAUUGGAGAGACUAGAGAUAAUACACCCCUUUAAGGGCGGUCGCACUCGGCAUUGACAUCUGGCGUCUAGAUGGCGGGUGGACCUCAGCGAAUUUCAAAGAAAUAUUUAUAAACAUCCAAUGACGUUCGGCUCGGACACCAGAUCUUCAAUCUCCUGAUUCCUGUGGAGUCUCCAGGUUCUAUCCUCUCCACGUGUGAGUCCUAGGAUUUUUCGCGCUGCCAGACUCGGGCACGUAGUCCAGAUGGGUGAGGAUCGUUCAGCCUGGAGGGCGUACUCUGAAGUUCCAAAUGGCCGAAGACCGUCUAGACGUCCUAGGUAGGUCCCGCUGGAGAGACGAAAUGCAAAAAGACCUUAGCGAACUCGGCGCCGUCGACUAGAUGGAAACGGUUUGGGACAGAGAAGCGUGGCGGUCUUUGGUGUCGGAGGCCAAGAUCCACUUCGGGUCGCUGCGCCAUAGCAGUAAGUAAGUAUUUAUAAACAUACUGUACCUUCUGUGUACCUAACCCAAAACGAGAUAUUUAAGAAAAAGUCCACCCGCCAUUCUGACGUCAGGAUUGCGGUUGGACCUAUGAAAUCUUGCAUUAUACCGCACUAAAAGUAUGCAGUUAUAUGGUACAGUCGCCACCAGAUAUAUCGGAGUGGCCGAGGUGCUCAAAGAUCUCUAAACACGCACUCUAACCUCUUGACAGUAGAGGCAUGUUCAGAUAUUCGUGGGCACCUUGGCCGCUCCGAUAUAUAUGAUGGUGACUGUACCUUCAGUGUACCUCUGUAAAUAGAAAUAGAAACCGGUGUACCUCUCCCCAAAACAAGGUAGGCUAAGCUCAUGCACAAUAUAGCUGCAUACUUUUAGUGCGGUAUAAUGCAAGAUUUCAUAGGUCCACCCGCCAUCCUGCCGUCAGGUUGGCGGGUGGACCGUUUUGUAAAAUAUCUCGUUUUGGGGAAAGGUACACUGGUUUCUAUUAAAGGUACACUGAGGUACACAGAAGGUACAGUCAACGUCAAAUACUUUGUAGCAACCAAAGUAACCAAAUAGUUCGGUACACCGUAUAUUUAGUAUGGUGUACCGAACUAUUUGGCCACUUUGACUGCUACAAAGUAUUUGACGCUGACUGUACAAUAUGUUUAUAAAUAUUUCUUUGAAAUUCGCUGAGGUCCACCGCCAUCCUGACGCUUACCAUAUAUCUAAGGACCGACCUUAGGGGCAAUAAGGAUAGUGCUAGUUCAGUUGUGUCAUUCACAAAUUCGAGCCAAUCGUGCUGUCUAACGCAGCUAGAUGCGAUCAAUCGCGUGCGUAAUGCGAACUCGUCAACCAAUCACGUUGUGGUACUUGUGACGUUAGACUACACGUUUGGCUCAAACUCGUGUGCGUAACACCGCUGUACUGGCCCCAUUCUUAUUGCCCGUAAGGCCCGUCCUCAGAUAUAUUAUGUCAAUGACACAGUCGCGAUUUUAAAAAAUCACAUCGCUUCUGCUACCAAAUUGUUGAGCAUAACGUUUUCCUAUCCAUAGGUUCCAUCUGUCCAGUAGGAUCCACCAUCUCGAUCCACCAGAUUGAAGAGAUUGUUACUUAACUGAUGGAUCGAGAUAAUGAAACCUACCGAAUAGAGCGGGUCGAUUGGAUAUAACAAAGUACGCUUAUAUGAAACGCUACUCCGGUGUGCGAGUGAGACAGUCAGGCCAAUUUGAACUUGCAUUUGACAGAAAACUGAUUGUCUCCAUCAAACGCUACCAGUUCCAUUGCCGGCCUCUUCGCUGCCUUCUAUAGUGGUUCAAUCUUACCUUGCUUAUGAAUAAAAAGGGGCGUGCACACCGAUAUUAGAGUAAUAUUGGAAUCAUAUCAGUUAGUUGCGGGCGUCUCGCUCGCACAAAUACAUGCGUAUAAGUGCGAAAUGAACGCACGAAUGACAGCUAACUGGUAUCAUUCCAAUAUUAUUCUAAAAUUGGUUUAAUGUCAGUUGCACUUUCGAAUUGGCCUACAUAGCGAUUUCCUUAGCCUGUACACCGGAUCGGCGUGUGGGCCGGCAUCUAGCUAAUGUAAAGCCCCCUCAUUAGGUGCUUUUAGCCUUUUGAACGGCAAGAACACCUAAAGAUGUGGUGAGAGAAAGCCGCGCGUCCCUCAUGCACUGCACUAGCUUUACAGCUUGCAUUGCGACCAAUGUAUGCCGCUCACCGCCCCGCCGGUCGCGUGGAUCCAAUCCGCGGCCCUAGAAGACGUACUUUACAUAUAAACAAGAGCACGCGAGCAUUUUGCGAGUUGUGUAUGUGUACUUGUGUUAUCUAGGCGCACAAACGGUUACAAUAACAAGAAGUGUACACCGCGUGUGCAGUCCAACACGGGAGCACGGGUGCGAUUCGAAAAUAACGCGCUAGCGACGCAUUACGACAUUGAUACUUUACCCUUUGAACGCCAUAACAAAAACGUUACUCACAUGCCAAGGUCACGGGCGCAAGUGAGCUUGAAAGUGCAUGAGUAUUACAUUAGGGACUUUGACAGCGAUUAUAACAGCUAUAAUCAUUAAUGUGUUCAUGGCCCUUAAAUCAUGUCUAGUGACGGCGCCUUUAGGUGUUCUUGACGUUCAAAAGGUUAAGGGCGUUUGCUAGCUGGCGCUAGUGCACGGAGCGGGCAAACACGCACAGGUGCCUUUGUAAGUAAAAUCAGUCGCACGCGUCCGCGCCAGUUAGCGUUGCUCAUACUGUAAGCCGCACGCCCGCUCCAUGCACACGCGCGACGUUGCGGACGCCCUAUGCCCUAAACCUUACUUGAAAGUGUGAAGGUUACUCUGACAGCGGCUAUAUCAGCUAUAAUGUAUUUAUGACGCUUUGAGCAUAGCUAGUUACGACGCCUUAAGGUAUUCUUGGCAGCUGGCGCGAGUGCACGGAGCGGGUGCACGCGCGCGGGUGCCUUUGUAGGUAAAAUUCGUCGCAUGCGUCCGCGCCAGUUAGCGUCGCCAGUUACUGUUUUUCGUUAACCCGCUCCAGCUAGCAAACUAAUCGCAAAUGGUCUGAGAUUGGCCAUGCAUUCCCUUAUCUGGAUCUGGAUGCACCUAUUCACCAAUGCUUGCUUUAAAGUAACUUGUCGACUCGUCCUGAUAAUAUUUGUGCGACCGUGAAGAAAAUCUAUGCCGUCACUUAUUUUUCAAUUUAUAUGAAAUAAAGAUGUUAAAUGUA